CUUGAGCCCGGGAGUUUGAGGCUACAGUGAGUUGUGAUGGAGCCACAGCACUCCGGCCUGGACAACCUGGUCUCAA
rnacentral:miRNA from 10 species